rnacentral:misc_RNA from 1 species
AAGUCGUAACAAGGUUUCCGUAGGUGAACCUGCGGAAGGAUCAUUAUCGAGUUUUUGAACGGGUUGUAGCUGGCCUCUCACGAGGUAAUGUGCACGCCUGGCUCAUUCCACUCUCAACCCCUGUGCACUUCUCGUAGGAAGGGAAAAACAUACUAGACGGAAGAGCUGAUUGCAAAGUCAGUUCAGAAAUCUUUUACGUAUCUCUCCUAUGUUUUUAUUACAAACGCUUCAGUUACAGAAUGUCUUACUUUGCGUACAACGCAUUUUAAACAUACAACUUUCAACAACGGAUCUCUUGGCUCUC